AUUGAACGCUGGCGGCAGGCCUAACACAUGCAAGUCGAACGGAGUGGCGGACGGGUGAGUAAUGCCUAGGAAUCUGCCUGGUAGUGGGGGAUAACUUCUGGAAACGGUCGCUAAUACCGCAUACCAUCAGAUGUGCCCAGGUCGGAUUAGCUAGUUGGUGGGGUAAAGGCUUACCAAGGCGACGAUCCGUAGCUGGUCUGAGAGGAUGAUCAGGCACACUGGAACUGAGACACGGUCCAGACUCCUACGGGAGGCAGCAGUGGGGAAUAUUGGACAAUGGGCGAAAGCCUGAUCCAGCCAUGCCGCGUGUGUGAAGAAGGUCUUCGGAUUGUAAAGCACUUUCAGUUGGGAGGCGUUACCAACAGAAUAAGCACCGGCUAACUUCGUGCCAGCAGCCGCGGUAAUAC
rnacentral:rRNA from 1 species